rnacentral:misc_RNA from 1 species
AACGCACCUUGCGCCCUCUGGUAUUCCGGAGGGCAUGCCUGUUUGAGUGUCAUGAAGCCCCAACCAGAUCGGGUUUCCGAUCGGGUUGGACCUGGGCGCCUGCCGUUCGCGGCUCGCCUUAAAAGCCUUAGUGGGACGGCCCCGAUGCCGGCGUAAUAAGUUUCGCCGUCCGGAGGGUGCGACGCCCGCUCACAACCGCCCUCGGGCAACAUUAUGACUCUGACCUCAAAUCAGGUAGGACCUACCCGCUGAACUUAA